rnacentral:rRNA from 1 species
UCUCCUGGAAACGGGUGGUAAUGCCGGAUGUUCCACAUGAGCGCAUGCGAGUGUGGGAAAGGCUUUUUGCGGCAUGGGAUGGGGUCGCGUCCUAUCAGCUUGUUGGUGGGGUAACGGCCUACCAAGGCGUUGACGGGUAGCCGGCCUGAGAGGGCGACCGGCCACAUUGGGACUGAGAUACGGCCCAGACUCCUACGGGAGGCAGCAGUGGGGAAUAUUGCACAAUGGGCGCAAGCCUGAUGCAGCGACGCCGCGUGCGGGAUGGAGGCCUUCGGGUUGUAAACCGCUUUUGUCCAAGGGCAAGGCACGGUUUCGGCCGUGUUGAGUGGAUUGUUCGAAUAAGCACCGGCUAACUACGUGCCAGCAGCCGCGGUAAUACGUAGGGUGCAAGCGUUAUCCGGAUUUAUUGGGCGUAAAGGGCUCGUAGGCGGUUCGUCGCGUCCGGUGUGAAAGUCCAUCGCUUAACGGUGGAUCCGCGCCGGGUACGGGCGGGCUUGAGUGCGGUAGGGGAGACUGGAAUUCCCGGUGUAACGGUGGAAUGUGUAGAUAUCGGGAAGAACACCA